rnacentral:rRNA from 1 species
ACGGGUGAGUAACGCGUGGGAACGUGCCUUUCGGUUCGGAAUAACUCAGGGAAACUUGAGCUAAUACCGGAUACGCCCUUCGGGGGAAAGAUUUAUUGCCGAAAGAUCGGCCCGCGUCCGAUUAGCUAGUUGGUGAGGUAAUGGCUCACCAAGGCGACGAUCGGUAGCUGGUCUGAGAGGAUGAUCAGCCACACUGGGACUGAGACACGGCCCAGACUCCUACGGGAGGCAGCAGUGGGGAAUAUUGGACAAUGGGCGCAAGCCUGAUCCAGCCAUGCCGCGUGAGUGAUGAAGGCCCUAGGGUUGUAAAGCUCUUUCGCCAGGGACGAUAAUGACGGUACCUGGAUAAGAAGCCCCGGCUAACUUCGUGCCAGCAGCCGCGGUAAUACGAAGGGGGCUAGCGUUGUUCGGAAUCACUGGGCGUAAAGCGCACGUAGGCGGAUCUUUAAGUCAGGGGUGAAAUCCCGAGGCUCAACCUCGGAACUGCCUUUGAUACUGGAGGUCUCGAGUCCGGGAGAGGUGAGUGGAACUGCGAGU